AGUGAACGCUGGCGGUAGGCCUAACACAUGCAAGUCGAACGGCAGCACAGUAAGAGCUUGCUCUUACGGGUGGCGAGUGGCGGACGGGUGAGGAAUACAUCGGAAUCUACUUUUUCGUGGGGGAUAACGUAGGGAAACUUACGCUAAUACCGCAUACGACCUACGGGUGAAAGCAUGGGAUCUUCGGACCUUGCGCGAAUGAAUGAGCCGAUGUCGGAUUAGCUAGUUGGCGGGGUAAAGGCCCACCAAGGCGACGAUCCGUAGCUGGUCUGAGAGGAUGAUCAGCCACACUGGAACUGAGACACGGUCCAGACUCCUACGGGAGGCAGCAGUGGGGAAUAUUGGACAAUGGGCGCAAGCCUGAUCCAGCCAUACCGCGUGGGUGAAGAAGGCCUUCGGGUUGUAAAGCCCUUUUGUUGGGAAAGAAAAGCAGCAGGUUAAUACCCCGCUGUUCUGACGGUACCCAAAGAAUAAGCACCGGCUAACUUCGUG
rnacentral:rRNA from 1 species